UACGUAGGGUCCGAGCGUUGUCCGGAAUUACUGGGCGUAAAGGGCGCGUAGGCGGUCCGACAAGUCGGGAGUGAAAGCCCGGGGCUCAACCCCGGGACUGCUUUCGAAACUGUCGAACUUGAGUGCAGAAGAGGCAACUGGAAUUCCCAGUGUAGCGGUGAAAUGCGUAGAUAUUGGGAAGAACACCUGAGGCGAAGGCGGGUUGCUGGGCUGACACUGACGCUGAGGCGCGAAAGCCAGGGGAGCGAACGGG
rnacentral:rRNA from 1 species